AUCAUGUGAAGCUGAGGGGAGCUCAGGAGGCAUCAGGAAGCUAUCGCUUCCAAGAGCUACAUCUCUGCUGCAUCUUAUCCUCCCUAAGGAUCCCAGAGACCUCACUGUGUGACUACAACUUUCAUACCACGUCCCCCACAUCCUGGACCUAUGCUGUUGGCAUUGUGACCCCAGUGGAGGACUCCGAUAUGUAUUUUAGUUAGUCUGACCCUCUGUGGAAAGGAUUCUAGGGGAGUGGUGGAGAAAAUAAUAGUCACCACUGACCCCUCCCCUCACCCCAUCCAGCACAUAGGAUGAAAUAAAAUGAUGGAUGGGAAACA